rnacentral:rRNA from 1 species
GACGAACGCUGGCGGCGUGCUUAACGCAUGCAAGUCGAACGGAAAGGCCCUGCUUUUGUGGGGUGCUCGAGUGGCGAACGGGUGAGUAACACGUGAGUAACCUGCCCUUGACUUUGGGAUAACUUCAGGAAACUGGGGCUAAUACCGGAUAGGAGCUCCUGCUGCAUGGUGGGGGUUGGAAAGUUUCGGCGGUUGGGGAUGGACUCGCGGCUUAUCAGCUUGUUGGUGGGGUAGUGGCUUACCAAGGCUUUGACGGGUAGCCGGCCUGAGAGGGUGACCGGCCACAUUGGGACGGGGAUACGGCCCGGACUCCUACGGGAGGCAGCAGUGGGGAAUAUUGCAAAAUGGGCGGAAGCCGGAUGCAGCAACGCCGCGUGCGGGAGGACGGCCUUCGGGUUGUAAACCGCUUUCGCCUGUGACGAAGCGUGAGUGACGGUAAUGGGUAAAGAAGCACCGGCUAACUACGUG